rnacentral:rRNA from 1 species
UACGGAGGGUGCAAGCGUUGUCCGGAAUCACUGGGCGUAAAGGGCGCGUAGGCGGCCCGGUAAGUAGGGGGUGAAAUCCUGCGGCUUAACCGCAGGGCUGCCUUCUAAACUGUCGGGCUCGAGCACGGUAGAGGCAGAUGGAAUUCCCGGUGUAGCGGUGGAAUGCGUAGAGAUCGGGAAGAACAUCAGUGGCGAAGGCGGCCUGCUGGGCUGUUGCUGACGCUGAGGCGCGACAGCGUGGGGAGCAAACAGG